GUGAGGAAUUUUCCGCAAUGGGCGAAAGCCUGACGGAGCAAUGCCGCGUGAAGGAUGAAGGCCUAUGGGUUGUAAACUUCUUUUCUCAGAAAAGAAUUAUGACGGUAUCUGAGGAAUAAGCAUCGGCUAACUCUGUGCCAGCAGCCGCGGUAAGACAGAGGAUGCAAGCGUUAUCCGGAAUGAUUGGGCGUAAAGCGUCUGUAGGUUGUUUAAAAAGUAUUCUGUCAAAGAUUAGGGCUUAACCCUAGAUAGGCAGAAUAAACUUUUAAGCUAGAGUUUGGUGGAGGCAGAGGGAAUUCCCGGUGGAGCGGUGAAAUGCGUAGAUAUCGGGAGGAACACCAAAGGCGAAGGCACUCUGCUGGGCCAAUACUAACACUGAGAGACGAAAGCGAGGGGAGCAAAUGGGAUUAGAAACCCGUGUAGUCC
rnacentral:rRNA from 1 species